rnacentral:lncRNA from 10 species
UUAAUUUGGCAGAGUAAAGGAAGAAAAAAAAAUCCAGAAGAAGAAGAAAAACCAGGAAUCGGCCCAAAGGAUUUUGUUUCUUCUCUUUGAGAUGAAUUUUGUAGCAAGAUCUACCCUCUCCACUCUUAAUCCCAGAGCAAAGGAGUCCCCAGCUUUUCACUGGGCAUACCACAUUUCGGCAUAAAGACUAUAUUUGUCAAUCUCCCUUGAAGACAGACACAGCCAUUUGACUUGAUGCUGGCCGAUGGGAUAUAAACGGAAGGGUUGUGUGUGCUUUCAGGGAAGUGCCCAAAAAGAUGGUGUGGCAUCUCUUCCCUUCUCUUUCUCCUCGCUGCUGGCUGGAAUGUGAACGUGAUGUCUGAAAUGUUCGACCUUCUCUUACUGCUGUCAAA